rnacentral:rRNA from 1 species
UCGGGAACCUUGCACAAUGGGCGAAAGCCUGAUGCAGCAACGCCGUGUGAGCGAGGAAGGUCUUCGGAUCGUAAAGCUCUGUUGUUGGGGACGAAGGGCGAAGGGUUAAUAGCCCCUAGCCUGACGGUACCCUUCGAGGAAGCCCCGGCUAACUCCGUGCCAGCAGCCGCGGUAAUACGGAGGAUGCAAGCGUUAUCCGGAAUCAUUGGGCGUAAAGCGUCCGCAGGUGGUUCAUCAAGUCUGCUGUUAAAGACAGAAGCUCAACUUCUGAAAGGCAGUGGAAACUGGAGAACUAGAGUACGGUAGGGGUCGAGGGAAUUCCCAGUGUAGCGGUGAAAUGCGUAGAGAUUGGGAAGAACACCAGUGGCGAAGGCGCUCGACUGGGCCGUAACUGACACUCAGGGACGAAAGCUAGGGUAGCGAAAGGGAUUAGAUACCCGUGUAGUCC